GGAACUCUGAUUGCUUGUAUCAUUGUCCAAAGUUACUCACACAAAGCACCCUCAAACCCCUUCAGCCCUUGUGCGCAUGAACGGAGAAAAAGCCUAGCAUCUUCUGGUCUCUGGUGACCCUUUUAUCAGCAUUCAAACCAUUAUGGUAGUACUUCCUAGGCGCUAUUUGGGGGAGACUGUACGGGGGAGAUUUAAUUUAGAUACAGAAACAAAGUUGGGCCUCCUCUCAUUCCAAAUGACCGUAGAAACCAAUAGAGAAGAACCACCAUCAUCUAACUUUCCUUGCUUGUCAUCUUUCGGUUCGGCCUUAGACAUAACCGAGUGGAGAAGUAAACUCUUUGUUGCUUCCUAGCUCCACCCUACCAUCCUCGGUUGAUGAAGAGUCCCUCUGCAUGCAGAAUCGGCGAUCCCUUCUUCUCCUUUCCAGCCGAAGCAACCACCAUCAAGGAGGUGAGACAUUUCUUCAUCUCCUUACUUUCUAUUUCAUGAAUCGGUUUAAUGGGGUAAACUCCCUUGCAUGUGGCUGAGUUCGUGGACUUGGGAGAGUAAAAGAGGGAGAACCGUGACGCCUAUAUUGGGGACUCUAUUCUUGGCCAUUAGAGAACCGUAGCUCACUUGGGAGGAGGUGCACAUAAUUCUUAUUGAGUGAGCUGAAUUUUGGUGCUGUUGAUUAUUGCUUGGACACAAGGAGGACGUAAAAGCUUUUGAGGACUUGGAUAUUUGCUGUUGACCUCUACUGUUUGGGCAUGCUACUAUUGAUGUGAUAUUUUAUGGAUGACUGUAUGAAAUUGAGAAGCUUGUAUUACGUGAACUAUGAUUUUAUUAGUGCAUUACGAUUUUAUGACCAGCAAGUAUUUUGGAAACAGAUGUUGAAACGUUUGCGAAAAGGAU